ACUAAAGAAAUGUGAUGACAGGCAUCCUGGCUCAAAGUCCAGGCCCCGCCCAGACUCCCUGCUCAGACCACGGCUCCACUGGCAGGGCCUGCGUUCAAGUGUGAAUGGCUCCGCCGAAAGUCUCUGCUUCCUCCCACCAUGAUCCAGGAUUACUCACACUGGCCUCCAGAUAAAUGUAGUUCAAAAAGUUUAAGGUGCCGCAUCGAUGCAUAUUUACAAAAACCAUGAGAUCACACUUCAGAACGGAUUUCCAAGAGAAAGCAAGCAAGCCAUACACAGCAGCCAUCUUCUCCUUCCUUUAGAUUUCCCAAUGACACAGGGAGUCAACUUACAAAGACCCACAACAAACCCAGGAAAGAGGGUACAACCAUUAGGUACAGCUAGAACCCCUGAAAACGUCUAUUUAGAGCAAAAGACCUGGGUUCAAGCCCUGGCCUUUGCUAGCUGUGUUUCAUCAGGUGAGUCACUUGACCUCUCUGAGGCUCUUUUUCUGUAGAAAGGUGCAAGGGGAGGCGGGGCUUGUCACACAAAGUAUCGGGCUUGGUUCUGUUUGCCUGACUUGGAAGGUGCCAGCUUCCCACCUCACCCUCUUCAGGGCUCCCUCCUGAAGCUGUGUUCCAGCUACGAUAGUAACCAUCCCAGGCCGAGCAGGACCACAGUAUAACCCAGCGCUUGUAGAGAGGACUGAAUGAGUGUGACUGUGGACACUGUGUAGAGCUGAGAAUGCCGGGGUAGGUAUGAAGUUCUUAUUGCUCUCAUUCCGACACGUACAGGACCAGGGCCAGCCAGUAGCAGCCUGCUCACUCUAUUUCUCACAUUCCUAUGGCAGACGUGACUAAUCGAGCCUGCAGUCUUCCUCCUUAGGCUGACCAGUGAUGUCUGCCCUGGAGUGGGAGCAAGGGAGGAAAGGAAAGCUAUUUGCCAACGCAAUGCUGUACAGACUUUACCGCUUGGAAACCAACACAAAGCUCUAAUAGGUGCCUGAAUGCUAAUCGCUGCCCCUGUUUAGGUCAGAAGCCAAUAAACUGCCACUGGGAGUAGGGGCAGGAGGCAGAAUCCAUAAGAGAGUAACUACCAACCAAGCUUGAGAGAAGGAAACAUCUGCUAGAAGAGAGUGUCUUGUUCCACAAUUGUUCUCUUCUGGACAAGCCACUAUCCCAAGCUCUGAGGGUAGCACCAAGCCACAUGGGAGAUGAGCCAACAAACCCAGGGGGGGUUAAGUGGCAUGGCCAAGAUGACCCUCUAGAAGGGGCUAGAACCAGCUUCCGUGCUUUUUACCUUUGGGCAGGCAGCAAGGUUUGCAAACACCCACAUAUUACCCAACCAUCCUUGCAGAGAGAGGCCCACAGACCCUGCAGCCAGAGAGCAGCCUGAAAUGUGAGACCUGGCAAGCCCUUGGCCAGGUUCUCAGAGCCUGAGAAGCAACCUCAGUGAAAUCCAGAAGGCACUAUAUCAAGAAGCCGGCAGUUUGGGAACAAUCCUGCUAAGUCAUAAAUGCUUCAAAUUCUUCGGCUUUUGCCUUCAGAAUUUCUGGCAGCCUUGGGCAGGGGGCAAGUGUUCGCGGACAGACACUGACUCGCCUCGUCUCUGUUAGGGAAGGCCAAGACAGACUGAGACGGAGAAGCCAGCAGACCAACUCUCCUCUAGAAAAGUCUGCGGGUGGGAAGUGCUUUGCUGUGGAUACUCUGGUGCCCACCCAGAACCCCAUUAAAACCCAGGCUCCCAUGCCCCCACAUCCUCUCCCUUCCCCCUACAGCUGCCUCCCAGGCCGCCAUCAACCUCAGCCAAGGAGGCGGGUGGUCCAAGUCUACACGCCCUCCCCUGGGGACCCAAGCACUGGUCCACAGUGACACAGAGGCCAGUACCUUGUUUCUGUCCAUGCCGUCUCCACGUAACCAGCCCUUCAGAACUCCUGGCGAGAGUUGCAGCUGCCUCACUGUUGAGCUUUCCUCCCCACCCGCUCCUGCUCCCUCUCAGGUGUUGGCCCUGUGAUCCGCGCUCCCAGCAGGUGUAUCUUGUUCCCCACUCCCUGUCUGCCUGGCACUGGCAGUCCCCCAUCUUAGAGUGGGCUUCCCAGGAAGCUGAUCUGCAGAGCCUAGAAAGGGGAGGAAGAGUCAUGGGGUCUGGGUGCUGAGAGCACUGUGAAAUAAUCUCAUUCAGCCCCACCGCCCCACCGUGGAAACAGCCUGCCAGAGGCCACAGAGUGGACUGUUAGUACAGCUGGCCCCAGGCGCUCUGACCCCACUACGGGAUGAUAUGAAAAUUGCUUACAUGUCCGAUGUUGGGCUGCACCCCACAGGCCUGCAAGCCUUGUAGUUGUUCAGCCUCAAGACAACUAAACAGUCCAGAGACAGUGACAGAGGCCUCAGUGGUUUCACGGCUAGGGAGACCUUACACGUCUGAAGCAAGGCCAGAGCGACACCCCGCCAUGUGCGGUGGGGAGGACACAGCAGAGGUCUUCGCCACCCGGAGGAGAAGGCGGCUACCGCUUACAGGGGAACUGACAUCAGGUUGGCGCAUCAGCUACCAGGGAAACCAGCGGCAGGAGCACGCCCCUCACAACCCCUCAGGAGUGAUGGUAAUCUCCACUUCACAGAGUUUCCAUGAGGACACCAAAAGAGCGCAUGGAACGUGGGAAAGUACGCACCCGAGGCUGCGGCAAGAUCAAGCGGCAGAGCCCCGACUUCACUGCUCCCCCCGAGGCGCCUGUGCCCAGGGGAGAAAUGCCUCCCCCAUCAAAGGCAGAGGAGGGCUAGCUCUUCUCUGCCCCAGGGCAGGAGGGAGCUAGUGCUGAUUGGGAUGGAGAACAAAGACAUGCAGGCCCCUGAACUCUGAGCAACCAAGGUCACAGACAACAGGUUUUCCUCAGGUCAGAAUCUGAAUUCAGAGUUCCUCACUUUACCACCAGCCUCCUGGUACCUCUGGGCCUUCUAGAGCUGCCUCAGGAUGAUCCAAGGAACAUGCUCUAAGAUGCCGCAGGAGAAGACGAAAGACAUUUGCGGGCCGCUUUGCUCACAAGCAUCCUUCCAGACGUGUCAGGAGGUUCAGGAUCCCACAGGUUCCCCUGUGAGUCAUGCUCCUCUGUGCCGGCACACCCUGCUGGAUGUUGGUGGGGUGUACUCUGCUCAGAGUCCCUAGAUUGAGGAUGCUUUGUGCUUAAAACAGAUCUGCAGCCAUCCUCUUGGGAGCCUGGAAUUGGAGGAGUAGGCAGUGAGCCACCCAUCUGGCCCAGGAAGUCUGUUUGAAAGGAAUUAUAAGAAAUUCCAUAAACAUCGCUCCCUAAACCCCAUGAGUCCCACUGCAGGUCUCUCAGCAGCCUGGGCCAGCGUGUCUGGAAU
ensembl:lncRNA